rnacentral:lncRNA from 1 species
AUAGAGCACGAGUUUGGACUGUGGGGGAAACCGAAGCACCCGGAGGAAACCCACAUCAACACGGGGAGAACAUGCAAACUUCACACAGAAAUGCCAAUUGGCCCAGCUGGGAUUUGAACCAGCAACCUUCUUGCUGCGAGGCAACAGUGCCAAGAUGCCGCCCAGAACAUGUUUAUCAGAAAAUCCCCCUUUAGUUUAUCAUGCAGAGAGAAUAGCAGUGCAGUCCAAACGCUCUCCUCUUAGCAGUAAAACCCUUACGAAGCACAGGAGACGCACAGUAAAAAGCAGACCUGUUAGCAGUAAAAGACCCUCGUGCUAUUGUUACAUGAGCAUCAUCAAUCUGAAGAGUGUGUGUGUGUGUGUGUUUGUUUUGGGAGACUGUUGCUGGCGAUGUCACUGAUCUCCAUAGUAACCGUGGGGUCCCCAGCUGUCAUGUCUGGCCAGAGAUGUGUGUCAUGAGCCUGGGGACCACUUAACCUAAACGCGAGUUUAACUCCACCAGUUCAGCCGCUGUCUCACAGACUUCUGCUUAAAAUGCAAAGAUGGGGACCCAAGGGGACCCGCAGCACCAGGGCCUGUGUCAUCUGAGGAACACGGGCGAUGCACACUCGCUCUUUAGAUAUAAUUAAGCUUCAACGCUGGGCAAGUGAACUGAAGACGAGAGAGAAAACAAGGAAUUAGAAAAGAUUCCCAAACAAGUCUCCUCCAUCUGAUUAUCUGAGGAUGAUUAUAGCAGAAUAUGAAG